rnacentral:rRNA from 1 species
UCAGGAUGAACGCUAGCUACAGGCUUAACACAUGCAAGUCAGGGGCAGCAUGUGGUUGCUUGCAACCAAUGAUGGCGACCGGCGCACGGGUGAGUAACGCGUAUCCAACCUUCCCCUUAGUAGAGGAUAGCCCGGCGAAAGUCGGAUUAAUACUCUAUGUUCUUCAAUGCGGACAUCUAAGUUGAAGCAAAGAUUUAUCGCUAAGGGAUGGGGAUGCGUCUGAUUAGGUUGCAGGCGGGGUAACGGCCCACCUGGCCUACGAUCAGUAGGGGUUCUGAGAGGAAGGUCCCCCACACUGGUACUGAGACACGGACCAGACUCCUACGGGAGGCAGCAGUGAGGAAUAUUGGUCAAUGGGCGCGAGCCUGAACCAGCCAAGUAGCGUGCAGGAACCGACUGCCCUAUGGGUUGUAAACUGCUUUUAUCAGGGAAUAAAGUGAGGCACGCGUGCCUUUUUGUAUGUACCUGAUGAAUAAGGACCGGCUAAUUCCGUGCCAGCCGCAGC